rnacentral:rRNA from 1 species
UAGGGAAUCUUCGGCAAUGGGGGGAACCCUGACCGAGCAACGCCGCGUGAGUGAAGAAGGUUUUCGGAUCGUAAAGCUCUGUUGUUAAGGAAGAACGAGUGUGAGAAUGGAAAGUUCAUACUGUGACGGUACUUAACCAGAAAGGGACGGCUAACUACGUGCCAGCAGCCGCGGUAAUACGUAGGUCCCGAGCGUUGUCCGGAUUUAUUGGGCGUAAAGCGAGCGCAGGCGGUUAGAUAAGUCUGAAGUUAAAGGCAGUGGCUCAACCAUUGUAGGCUUUGGAAACUGUUUAACUUGAGUGCAGAAGGGGAGAGUGGAAUUCCAUGUGUAGCGGUGAAAUGCGUAGAUAUAUGGAGGAACACCGGUGGCGGAAGCGGCUCUCUGGUCUGUAACUGACGCUGAGGCUCGAAAGCGUGGGGAGCGAACAGGAUUAGAUACCCUGGUAGUCCACGCCGUACGAUGAGUGCUAGGUGUUAGGUCCUUUCCGGGACUUAGUGCCGCAGCUAACGCAUUAAGCACUCCGCCUGGGGAGUACGACCGCAAGGUU